rnacentral:rRNA from 1 species
AUUGAACGCUGGCGGCAGGCCUAACACAUGCAAGUCGAACGAGUGGCGGACGGGUGAGUAAUGUCUGGGAAACUGCCUGAUGGAGGGGGAUAACUACUGGAAACGGUAGCUAAUACCGCAUACCAUCGGAUGUGCCCAGAUGGGAUUAGCUAGUAGGUGGGGUAACGGCUCACCUAGGCGACGAUCCCUAGCUGGUCUGCGAGGAUGACAGGCCACACUGGAACGGAGACAGGGUCAAGAGGCCUAAGAGAGGCAGCAGUGGGGAAUAGUGCACAAUGGGCGGAAGCCUGAUGCAGCCAUGGCGCGGGUAUGAAGAAGGCCUUGGGGUUGUAAAGUACUUUCAGCGGGGAGGCGUUACCCGCAGAAGAAGCACCGGCUAACUCCGUGCCAGCAGCCGCGGUAAUAC